rnacentral:tRNA from 1 species
AGGGAUUUAGGAUAACACCAGUCCGAAAGUCUUCAAAGCUUUAAGUAGAAAUGAAAAUCUUCUAAUCCCUG